GACUAACGCUGGCGGCGUGCCUAACACAUGCAAGUCGAACGAUUCUUUGAUUUAUAGCAAUAUUUAUUAAAGAGGAGUGGCGAACGGGUGAGUAACACGUAGAUAAUCUGCCUUUCAGACGGGGACAACUCAGGGAAACUUGUGCUAAUACCCGAUGAGACCACAAGAAGGGAUUUUUGUGGCCAAAGGCGGGCAGCAAUGCUCGUGCUGAAAGAUGAGUCUGCGUCCUAUCAGCUAGUUGGUGGGGUAAAUGCCUACCAAGGCUAAGACGGGUAGCCGGCCUGAGAGGGUGAACGGCCACACUGGGACUGAGACACGGCCCAGACUCCUACGGGAGGCAGCAGUGAGGAAUUUUCCGCAAUGGGCGCAAGCCUGACGGAGCGACGCCGCGUGAGGGAUGACAGCUUUCGGGUUGUAAACCUCUUUAUUAAGAAAAGAUCUAUAUGCUAAUAUCAUGUAGAUUUGAUGGUACUUAUUGAAUAAGCCCGGCUAACUACG
rnacentral:rRNA from 1 species